ACAUCUCUCACUCCCAAACAGAACAGGGUUGCUAACAGAACAGGGUUGCUAACAGAACAGGGUUGCUAACAGAACAGGGUUGCUAACAGAACAGGGUUGCUAACAGAACAGUUACACAGAACUGGAAGAAAACUAAACUUCCGGAGGACCUAUCAUCCUUCCACUCUCUCUACGUAGCAAGUACGCACGAUUACAUGUGAGUACUGUGUAGAAAGUGUGAAGAGGCUGUAAGAAAAGAAACUUGUAUUUUAUUACAUUUGUUUAUUGGUGUUUUGUAUUCUUGGCAGUGGGUCCAGGCCAAGGCCGGACUGUCUCCUGAACUCGCCGUUUAACAGAUCCGGAGAUUGGAGGGAUGAGAGAGUGGGCAGAAACGGUUAAGGUAGGAGAGGUUGGGGCAGGGCUGGUUAAGGUAGGAGAGGUUGAGGCAGGAAUUUUUAAGGUAGGGGAGGUUGGGGCAGGGCUGGUUAAGUCAGGGGAGGUUGAGGCAGGGCUGGUUUGUGAUGGCUGGGUGGAAUGGGUUGUGAUUACCGGUAAUGGGAAUGGGGAAAAUAAGAAAUCAAUUUGUUGGAGCAGAUUGACUUGGGAGCCCUGUGGUGUCCAGCCAGAUGUGAUGGGUUGGGGUGUAGAGCCAGAGUGGAUGGAGUGAGAUGGUGCAGCACAGGAGGUGAUGGAUUGGGGUGGCACUGUUAGUGCUGGCCAAAGUGUUGAUGGUGAGGGUAGCUCCUCCAUGGGGGUAAAGCUGACUCCACAGUUCCCUCUGCUGCUGGUGGGGGACCAGAGUUGGAGAUUUCUCCCUGAGAGAGACCUGGACAAGAGGAUUCGGUCAAUAUUAUUUCAGAUAUUUUAUAUUAUUUAUCACUUCUUGUUGAAAUUAUUUCCUUUAAAAUGUCAUGUUUUCUGUUAGUAUGGCAUUAUGCUUUUUCAUUAAAAUAAAGAACACACACUGGUCUCUGAUGAGUAGCCUUACACACGUUACACACGUCUGCAGCGAUACGCAGCUAACAAUGACUAUACAUUUAUGGGCGGAUCCGUUUGACUGAAACAAAAAAAAUAUCACAAC
rnacentral:lncRNA from 1 species